GGCAACUAAUACAAUUCUAAAAACCCCUAACACAAUUAGGUUGCGUUGUUUCAUCACGGAGUUCCUAUGGCCACCUCCUGUCUCCAUCAUCAGAUCAGCUCGAUGGUACCAUAAUAUUGCAUUGUCAUCCGAUUUAUACAUUCAUGCAAAAUUUCAGCUCAAUCGGAAACCGGGAAGUGGAUCAAAUUUAACUUGCAAGAUUUGAUUACAGAGAGACAACGACAACGGGGC